AUUGAACGCUGGCGGCAGGCCUAACACAUGCAAGUCGAGCGAGCGGCGGACGGGUGAGUAAUGUAUGGGGACUGCCCGAUAGAGGGGGAUAACUACUGGAAACGGUUGCUAAUACCGCAUACUAUCGGAUAACCCAUAUGGGAUUAGCUAGUAGGUGGGGUAAAGGCUCACCUAGGCGACGAUCUCUAGCUGGUCUGAGAGGAUGAUCAGCCACACUGGGAAUGAGACACGGCCCAGAAUCCGACGGAGGCAGCAGUGGGGAAUAUUGGACAAUGGGCGAAAGCCUGAUGCAGCCAUGCCGCGUGUAUGAAGAAGGCCUUAGGGUUGUAAAGUACUGUCAGCGGGGAGGCGUUACCCGCAGAAGAAGCACCGGCUAACUCCGUGCCAGCCGCCGCGGUAAUUC
rnacentral:rRNA from 1 species